AGCCCAUCGGGGCAGCGACAUUGUGGGCUGAGGAGUCCAUUGCGGGAGCAACAUUGCGGGCUGAGGAGCCCAUCAGUGCCGGGGAGCCCAUCGGUGCCAGGGAGCCCAUCAGGGCAGGGACAUUGCAGGCUGAGGAGCCCAUCGGGGCAGGGACAUUGCAGGCUGAGGAGCCCACUGGGGCAGCGACAUUGUGGGCUGAGGAGUCCAUUGCGGGAGCAACAUUGCGGGCUGAGGAGCCCAUCGGUGCUGGGGAGCCCAUCGGUGCCAGGGAGCCCAUCAGGGCAGCAACAUUGCAGGCUGAGGAGCCCAUCGGGGCAGCGACAUUAUGGGCUCAGGAGCCCAUUGGGGCAGCG
rnacentral:lncRNA from 1 species